GCAAGUCGAGCGGAUUGAUGGGAGCUUGCUCCCUGAAAUCAGCGGCGGACGGGUGAGUAACACGUGGGUAACCUGCCUGUAAGACUGGGAUAACUCCGGGAAACCGGGGCUAAUACCGGAUAGUUCUUUUCCUCGCAUGAGGAAAAGUGGAAAGGCGGCUUCGGCUGCCACUUACAGAUGGACCCGCGGCGCAUUAGCUAGUUGGUGAGGUAACGGCUCACCAAGGCAACGAUGCGUAGCCGACCUGAGAGGGUGAUCGGCCACACUGGGACUGAGACACGGCCCAGACUCCUACGGGAGGCAGCAGUAGGGAAUCUUCCGCAAUGGACGAAAGUCUGACGGAGCAACGCCGCGUGAGUGAUGAAGGUUUUCGGAUCGUAAAGCUCUGUUGUUAGGGAAGAACAAGUGCCGUUCGAAUAGGGCGGCACCUUGACGGUACCUAACCAGAAAGCCACGGCUAACUACGUGCCAGCAGCCGCGGUAAUACGUAGGUGGCAAGCGUUGUCCGGAAUUAUUGGGCGUAAAGCGCGCGCAGGCGGUCUCUUAAGUCUGAUGUGAAAGCCCACGGCUCAACCGUGGAGGGUCAUUGGAAA
rnacentral:rRNA from 2 species